UACGGAGGGGGCAAGCGUUGUUCGGAAUUACUGGGCGUAAAGGGCGCGCAGGCGGCUGCUCAAGUCAGGCGUGAAAGGCCUGGGCUCAACCCGGGAAUUGCGCUUGAGACUGGGCUGGCUUGAGUGCGGGAGAGGAUGGUGGAAUUCCCAGUGUAGAGGUGAAAUGCGCAGAUAUCAGGAGGAACACCGGUGGCGAAGGCGGGUCUCUGGGACGAUACUGACGCUGAGGAGCGAAAGCGUGGGGAGCGAACAGG
rnacentral:rRNA from 1 species